CCCGGCGGCCAUGGCGAGGAGGAAACACCCGUUCCCAUUCCGAACACGGAAGUGAAGGGCCUCAGCGGCGAUGGUACUGCAGCGCUCGGUUGUGGGAGAGUAGCACGCUGCCGGGA
rnacentral:rRNA from 1 species